rnacentral:tRNA from 1 species
GUCCCCAUAGCUCAACAGGAUAGAGCAAUCGUUUCCUAAACGAUCGAUGGCGGUUCGAGUCCUCCUGGGGACACCA